GAGUAACCUGCCCUUGACUCUGGGAUAAGCGUUGGAAACGACGUCUAAUACCGGAUAUGACCUGUGACGGCAUCGUCUGCAGGUGGAAAGAAUUUUGGUCAAGGAUGGACUCGCGGCCUAUCAGGUAGUUGGUGAGGUAACGGCUCACCAAGCCGACGACGGGUAGCCGGCCUGAGAGGGUGACCGGCCACACUGGGACUGAGACACGGCCCAGACUCCUACGGGAGGCAGCAGUGGGGAAUAUUGCACAAUGGGCGAAAGCCUGAUGCAGCAACGCCGCGUGAGGGACGACGGCCUUCGGGUUGUAAACCUCUUUUAGUUGGGAAGAAGGGAGCUUGCUCUUGACGGUACCAGCAGAAAAAGCACCGGCUAACUACGUGCCAGCAGCCGCGGUAAUACGUAGGGUGCAAGCGUUGUCCGGAAUUAUUGGGCGUAAAGAGCUCGUAGGCGGUUUGUCGCGUCUGCUGUGAAAUCUGGGGGCUCAACCCCCAGCCUGCAGUG
rnacentral:rRNA from 1 species